UUUUCCAGCUGAUAUAGCAGAUCCGACUCCUGAGAGCAGACGUAUCUGAAGCUGUCAGGGAGGAACCGUGGCUACCAUCUCUGAACCGGACCCUGGACUCUCUGAGGAACCUGAGGACACGUCUUUGGACCGGAGGGAGCGCAAGAGAAGAUUUGCUGGUAGAGCAAAGAAGAAGGCUAAGUCCAGACGCCGUGGAAGCCGUCAGAGAGUAACAAUGGUCACCAUCUCGGACCGGGAGGACACCAAGAAGAGAAGAUUUGCUCUAUGGUUUCACAUCAUUGUCAUUGUGAGCAUCGGACUGCUGAGUAUUCUCCUCAUC